UACGUAGGGCGCAAGCGUUAUCCGGAAUUAUUGGGCGUAAAGCGCGUGUAGGCGGCUUUGCAAGUCGGGUGUGAAAGCCCUCAGCUCAACUGAGGAAGUGCGCCCGAAACUGCAGAGCUUGAGUGCCGGAGAGGGUGGCGGAAUUCCCCAAGUAGAGGUGAAAUUCGUAGAUAUGGGGAGGAACACCGGUGGCGAAGGCGGCCACCUGGACGGUAACUGACGCUGAGACGCGAAAGCGUGGGGAGCGAACAGG
rnacentral:rRNA from 1 species